rnacentral:snRNA from 1 species
GGAUGUGAGGGCGAUCUGGCUGCGACAUCUGCUGUCACCCCAUUGAUCGCCAGGGUUGAUUCGGCUGAUCUGGCUGGCUAGGCGGGUGUCCCCCUCCUCCCUCACUGAUCCAUGUGCGUCCCUCCCGAAGCUGCGGGCUUGGUGGAAGAGGACGACCUCCCCCCCCCCCUCCCAGGAGAGGACCGGUCUUCGGGUCAAGGGUAUAGGAGUAGCUGCGCUCCCCUGCUAGAACCUCCAAACAAGCUCUCAAGAAAGAAGUAAAACCCUUAUGAACUGGUUAGGCCUAAGAGCUAACAUACCAUUUUAACAAAGAAUGAUCAAUU